AACGAACGCUGGCGGCAUGCCUAACACAUGCAAGUCGAACGAAGUCUUCGGACUUAGUGGCGCACGGGUGCGUAACGCGUGGGAAUCUGCCUUUGGGUUCGGAAUAACAGUGAGAAAUUACUGCUAAUACCGGAUGAUGUCUUCGGACCAAAGAUUUAUCGCCCAAAGAUGAGCCCGCGUAAGAUUAGCUAGUUGGUGAGGUAAAGGCUCACCAAGGCGACGAUCUUUAGCUGGUCUGAGAGGAUGAUCAGCCACACUGGGACUGAGACACGGCCCAGACUCCUACGGGAGGCAGCAGUGGGGAAUAUUGGACAAUGGGCGAAAGCCUGAUCCAGCAAUGCCGCGUGAGUGAUGAAGGCCUUAGGGUUGUAAAGCUCUUUACCAGGGAUGAUAAUGACAGUACCGGGAGAAUAAG
rnacentral:rRNA from 1 species